rnacentral:rRNA from 1 species
UCCUACGGGGGGCUGCAGUGGGGAAUAUUGGACAAUGGGGGGAACCCUGAUCCAGCCAUGCCGCGUGUGUGAAGAAGGCCUUUUGGUUGUAAAGCACUUUAAGCGAGGAGGAGGCUUACCUGGUUAAUACCUGGGAUAAGUGGACGUUACUCGCAGAAUAAGCACCGGCUAACUCUGUGCCAGCAGCCGCGGUAAUACAGAGGGUGCGAGCGUUAAUCGGAUUUACUGGGCGUAAAGCGUGCGUAGGCGGCUUUUUAAGUCGGAUGUGAAAUCCCCGAGCUUAACUUGGGAAUUGCAUUCGAUACUGGGAAGCUAGAGUAUGGGAGAGGAUGGUAGAAAUCCAGGUGUAGCGGUGAAAUGCGUAGAGAUCUGGAGGAAUACCGAUGGCGAAGGCAGCCAUCUGGCCUAAUACUGACGCUGAGGUACGAAAGCAUGGGGAGCAAACAGGAUUAGAUACCCUAGUAGUCC